rnacentral:rRNA from 1 species
ACAAGCAGCGGAGCGUGUGGUUUAAUUCGAAGCAACGCGAAGAACCUUUACCAGGUCUUGACAUCCCGAUGCUAUUUCUAGAGAUAGAAAGUUACUUCGGUACAUCGGUGACAGGUGGUGCAUGGUUGUCGUCAGCUCGUGUCGUGAGAUGUUGGGUUAAGUCCCGCAACGAGCGCAACCCCUAUUGUUAGUUGCCAUCAUUCAGUUGGGCACUCUAGCGAGACUGCCGGUAAUAAACCGGAGGAAGGUGGGGAUGACGUCAAAUCAUCAUGCCCCUUAUGACCUGGGCUACACACGUGCUACAAUGGUUGGUACAACGAGUUGCGAGUCGGUGACGGCGAGCUAAUCUCUUAAAGCCAAUCUCAGUUCGGAUUGUAGGCUGCAACUCGCCUACAUGAAGUCGGAAUCGCUAGUAAUCGCGGAUCAGCACGCCGCGGUGAAUACGUUCCCGGGCCUU